rnacentral:tRNA from 1 species
UAUAAUAUAGCAAAAUAGUGCAUUGAUUUUAAGCAUCAAAUAUAAAGAAUAUUAUUUUAUUCUUUUAUUAUAA